GACGAACGCUGGCGGCGUGCUUAACACAUGCAAGUCGUACGGUAAGGCCCUUUCGGGGGUACACGAGUGGCGAACGGGUGAGUAACACGUGAGUAACCUGCCCACAACUUUGGGAUAACGCUAGGAAACUGGUGCUAAUACUGGAUAUGUGCUCCUGCUGCAUGGUGGGGGUUGGAAAGCUCCGGCGGUUGUGGAUGGACUCGCGGCCUAUCAGCUUGUUGGUGGGGUAGUGGCCUACCAAGGCGGCGACGGGUAGCCGGCCUGAGAGGGUGACCGGCCACAUUGGGACUGAGAUACGGCCCAGGCUCCUACGGGAGGCAGCAGUGGGGAAGAUUGCACAAUGGGCGCAAGCCUGAUGCAGCAACGCCGCGGGCGGGAUGACGGCCUUCGGGUUGUAAACCGCUUUCAGCAGGGACGAAGCUUUUUGUGACGGUACCUGCAGAAGAAGCACCGGCUAACUACGUG
rnacentral:rRNA from 1 species